rnacentral:rRNA from 1 species
UUUCUGGUUGAUCCUGCCGGACCCCACUGCUAUCGGGAUAGGACUAAGACAUGCUAGUCGAGCGCGUCAGCCAAAACGACGCGCGGCAUACAGCUCAGUAACACGUGGCUAAUCUGCCCUUGGGACGAGAACAAACCCGGGAAACUGGGGCUAAUUCUCGAUAGAUGAAGAACUCUGGAAUGAGUCUUUAUCAAAAAAGAUUUACGUUAUGCUCGUGAAUCCGCCCAAGGAUGAGGCCGCGACCGAUCAGGUUGUUGGUGAGGUAACGGCUCACCAAGCCUUUUACCGGUGCGGGCCGUGGGAGCGGGAGCCCGGAGAUGGGUACUGAGACAAGGACCCAGGCCCUACGGGGCGCAGCAGUCGCGAAACCUUUGCAAUACACGCAAGUGUGACAGGGCUAUCCCGAGUGCCAUCCGCUGAGGAAGGCUUUUACCCAGUAUAGAAAGCUGGGGGAAUAAGGAGAGGGCAAGUCUGGUGUCAGCCGCCGCGGUAAUACCAGCUCUCCGAGUGGUGUGGAUGUUUAUUGGGCCUAAAGCAUCCGUAGCUGGCUAAGUUAGUCCUUUGUUAAAUCCACCGAAUUAAUCGUUGGGUUGCGAGGGAUACUGCUUGGCUAGGGGACGAGAGAGGCAGACGGUAUUUUCGGGGUAGGGGUGAAAUCCUAUAAUCCCGGGAAAGACCACCAGUGGCGAAGGCUGUCUGCUAGAACGCGCCCGACGGUGAGGGAUGAAAGCUGGGGUAGCGAACCGGAUUAGAUACCCGGGUAGUCCCAGCUGUAAACGAUGCAGGCUAGGUGUUUGGACGGCCACGUGCCGUUCUAGUGCCGCAGGGAAGCUGUUAAGCCUGCCGCCUGGGGAGUACGAUCGCAAGACUGAAACUUAAAGGAAUUGGCG